UACGUAGGGACCAAGCGUUGUUCGGAUUUACUGGGCGUAAAGGGCGCGUAGGCGGCGUGGUAAGUCAGCUGUGAAAUCUCCGAGCUUAACUCGGAACGGUCAGCUGAUACUGCUGUGCUAGAGUACAGAAGGGGCAAUCGGAAUUCUUGGUGUAGCGGUGAAAUGCGUAGAUAUCAAGAGGAACACCUGAGGCGAAGGCGGGUUGCUAGGCUGAUACUGACGCUGAUGCGCGAAAGCUAGGGUAGCAAACGGG
rnacentral:rRNA from 1 species